AAUAGAUACCCGGGUAGUCCACGCCGUAAACGAUGGGUGCUAGGUGUCGGGGGUAUCGACCCCCUCGGUGCCGUCGCCAACGCAAUAAGCACCCCGCCUGGGGAGUACGGCCGCAAGGCUAAAACUCAAAGGAAUUGACGGGGGCCCGCACAAGCAGCGGAGCGUGUGGUUUAAUUCGAUGCAACGCGAAGAACCUUACCCGGGCUUGACGUGCACGUAGUACCCGAGGGAAACCGAGGGGACCCGCGAGGGAGCGUGCGCAGGUGCUGCACGGCUGUCGUCAGCUCGUGCCGUGAGGUGUUGGGUUAAGUCCCGCAACGAGCGCAACCCCCGCGACCAGUUACGAAGUCUGGUCGGACCGCGGGACCAACCCGGAGAAGGUGGGGAUGACGUCAAGUCAGCAUGGCCCUGACGUCCGGGGCGACACACACGCUACAAUGGCCGGGACAGAGGGUAGCGAGGCCGCGAGGCGGAGCCAAGUCCCAGCAAACCCGGUCUCAGUUCGGAUCGGAGGCUGCAACCGCUCGUGAAGUCGGAGUUGCUAGUAACCGCGGGUCAGCACACCGCGGU
rnacentral:rRNA from 1 species